AUAUUAACCAUAUUUCUCUAGAAACAGGCUUUAUGUGUUCCUGGGAUGCCAAGAACACAUUUCACCUGUCUACCCAUCCCCAGCUGUCGUGGAAUUUGGACUUCCUCAAUGCAGAGUCUCUGGGCUGAUUCCUGUGGAGCAAAGGCUCCAGAAAUGAGGAGACUAAGGAAGAGAAAGUGAAGAGCAGGAGUAACAACGUGGAGAAGCUUUUCUGCUGACGGGUUCAUGCAGGGUUUGUGGGGGGAGUGGCAUCCUUUUCUGAAGGUGUUGCUGGGUUCUAUUGGUGGCUUUAUUAAAAUCAGAGGAUUCUUCAAAAGCAACAAAAUAAAAAAUAGAUAAAUGGGACUACAUCAAACUUAAAAACUUCUGCAUGUCAAAAGAAACAAUCAACAGAGUGAAAAGGCAUCCAACAGACUGGGAGAAAAUAACUGCAAAGCAUAUAUCUGAUAAGGGGUCAAUGUCCAGAAUAUAUCAGCAUAUAUAUAGUUUAACAACAAAAAGCAACCUGAGUAGGAAAUGGACUUGAAGAAAGAAGAUACACAAAUAGCCAAUAAGCACAGAAAAAGAUGCUUGCCAUCGCUAAUCAUAAAGGAAAUGCAAUCAAAACUACAAUGACAUAUCACCUCAUACCCAUCAAGAGAGGCCACUCACUAUCAAAAGAACAGAAAACAAGAAGUGUUGGAGAGGAUGCAGAGAAGUUGGAACUCUUGGCACUGUUAGUGGAAAUGCAAAAUGGUACCACCAUUAUGGGAAAUGAUAUGGAGGUUCCUCAGAAAAUAAAAAAUAGGAUUACCAUAUGAUCCAGCAAUUCCACAUCCAGGUAUAUAUCCAAAAGAACUCAAAGUAGGAUUGCAGAGAUAUUUACACACCCAUGUUCAUCACAGUUUUAUUCAUGAAGCAACCUAAUGUCCAUCAACAGAUAAAUGGAUAAAGAAAAUGUGGAAUAUACAUACAAUGAUGUAUUACACAGCCUUAAAAAAGAAAAAUCCUAUUAAUGCAUGAUUUUUAAAAAUGAGAAUUUCAUCUAUAAUUGUUUAAAGAUGUAAAAAAAAAAGGGAAGAAGGAAAUCCUAUCACAUGCUACAACCUGGAUGAAACUCAAGGACCUUAUGCUAAGCAAAAUGUCAAUCAAGAAAGGACAAAUAUUGUGUGAUUCCACUCAUAUGAAAUAUCUACAGUAGCCAAAAUCAUAGAAGCAAAAACUAGGGAAGUAGUUAUCAAGGAUUGCAGGAGGGGGAAGUGGGCAUUAAUGUUUAAUGGGUAUACAGUAUCCACGCUGCAAGAUGAAAAAGUUCCAGAUAUCUCUUGCAUAACAAUGUGACAACAGUUAAUAUUACUGAACUGUACACUUAAAAUAGCUAAGAAGGUAGAUGUUACGAGUUUUUUACCAUAAUAAUAAAGAAAUCAGAUGACUCUUCAACAGUGGCAGUGGCUGGAAAAGGCUAAUUCCCUGUCUCACUAUGUGGACCUAAGGAAUCCCUAGCAGAGUCCCUGAGAACUGAAUGUUGGGUAGUUCCAGAGAUGGCUGAGAAGUGAUUAACUUCCUCAAUUUCUAGAAAAUACUAUGAGCUUAUCAAACUCCAGUAAGUGUUGCCUUUUAUGAAAGAAAAGUGUAUAGAAAAUGAGUAACCUUGGAAAAGCUUAAGGAGAGUUAUUAGCUUUGGGAUUAUGCACAGAUUAUAAGAUUUUUUCCCCCUGGGAUAAAGUGAGUAUCAUUAACACUGAUGUCAUACCCCCACUGUUCUACUGGAACUUUUUAAUGUAAGAUUACCAGUGACCCACUAACUGCCAAAUCCAGUGGACUCCAGAUGAUCCAGCUGUCUACUGGAUGGUAUCUCAAACUCACCAUGCCCUCAAAACCUGGUUCUUUGACUCUGUGCCCCCAACAAUUGGUCAACAGUAUCAUCAACUCAUCAGUCACCCAAGAGGGAAAUACUGACUUUUCUUCCCUUCCUCAAGCCUUCACUUUCUGCUCUCUAGUAACUAUAUUAGCCAGCACUGAUUUUGUUGUAAAUUCGAAAAUUCAACUUGAACUAACUUAGACUAAAAGGAGAAAGCUUAUUACAAGGAUACUAGUAUGUAUCACACAAUCAGAGAGCUAAGCAACCAAAUCCAAAGAAAGAGGAAGACACGAGCCUCAAGGACAAUCAGAACCAUGAGAUUUGAGCCAGUACUUUCUCUUGACAUAGCUCUGCGUCUGCUUCCUGUUCCCUCACCACAACAUAGCUUCUGUAUUUAGCAGGAAAUAUGGCAGUUUUCUCCAGAGAGGGAAAGACUUCAUUUUCCUAAUUCUAGCUUGAAAAAUUCCAGAGACGGACUCUGAUUAGUCUAACUCCUGUUAGGUGUUUACUCUGAACCACCUGAAACAUUCAUAUUAGAAGAAUGCAUAAGUAAAUUACUAAAAAUCUAUAUAGUGGAAGCUUAUGCAGCCAUCAAAAUUAUGUUUAUUAUGGGUUUUAAAAAAUUGAUAUGGGAAAACACAUGUUAAAACCAGAAUGUUAAUGAACUUUAUAGUAAAAUCUCAACAAUGUGAGAAAGAUUAGAAAAAAUUAAAAUGAAAUACAUCAAAA